UACGGAGGGGGCUAGCGUUGUUCGGAAUUACUGGGCGUAAAGCGCGCGUAGGCGGCUUUGUAAGUUAGAGGUGAAAGCCCGGGGCUCAACCCCGGAACUGCCUUUAAGACUGCAUCGCUUGAAUCCAGGAGAGGUGAGUGGAAUUCCGAGUGUAGAGGUGAAAUUCGUAGAUAUUCGGAAGAACACCAGUGGCGAAGGCGGCUCACUGGCCUGGUAUUGACGCUGAGGCGCGAAAGCCAGGGGAGCAAACGGG
rnacentral:rRNA from 1 species